rnacentral:rRNA from 1 species
UACGUAGGGUGCGAGCGUUAAUCGGAAUUACUGGGCGUAAAGCGUGCGCAGGCGGUUUGUUAAGACAGAUGUGAAAUCCCCGGGCUUAACCUGGGAACUGCAUUUGUGACUGGCAAGCUAGAGUAUGGCAGAGGGGGGUAGAAUUCCACGUGUAGCAGUGAAAUGCGUAGAGAUGUGGAGGAAUACCGAUGGCGAAGGCAGCCCCCUGGGCCAAUACUGACGCUCAUGCACGAAAGCGUGGGGAGCAAACAGA